CGCUGAUUUCGAAAAUUAACUGUACACUUUCGACCAAUCAGAAAAGAGAUAGUGGGUUCAAUGUAUAAUAACAGGUACAAUGGACCGUUGUUUUCCAAUUUGCUACGUCAGAAUGCCGUCCAUACAAAAAAAAACCGACUGUUGUGCGGAUCUUAGGGGUCAUUUCAAGUUUCCCACGAGUCACGUCAAGCAAUUUAAAAACAAUAUUUACAUAACGACCCUGUUAUGUAUCCCGGAAGUUCUUGCCAAGCGAACAAGAGUUCGACACUGCCGCUCGAAACCGGACUUCAUGAUCCGGUUACAAACAUUUGGCCACAUAUUUCACAAAGAGCUCAAGAGUUGUCGGGACAAUAACAAAGCCGGGAGAAAAUGUGGUCGAAUAUAGGACUGUUAUAUUUGAAGUUGUUUUCAAUAUGGCUGCUGUUGUUUGCUGCACCUUGCCUUAGUGAAGAUCUCAAAUGUUACCUUUGCCACUCGAACAUAUCGUGGGAUGAAUGUGAAAAGAAUAAAAAAGUAGGGGUUUGUUACCCCAACUACGACGACGUCUGCAUCACAAUGCAUCAUAUUGAAAACGAUGACACAGAAAAAGGAUAUAAGGAAGAUUUUGUCAAGAUGUGUGGCCAAGCGCGGUCGUGUACGGACAAAGACUGCCAGAAAAAAUACAAAACUUGUCAAAUAGAUUGUUGUCAUAGCGACUUGUGUAACGUAGCGACAGGGCGAACUCACGUGACAAGCACAAUGCUGGCCACUGUGCUUGCUGUUUUGUUGUGUGUUCUACAAUUGCGUUGUAUUUUCUGAACUUUCUUCUCUCUCAAUUGCGAUUGAUACUGUACAUUGAGGAAAUUGUGCAACAUUUUUCGAUUUGAGUUACGAGGCAGUUUUCCGCGCCCAACUCCUGAAUACGGGUCGAGUCCCACUUGCCCCGCAGCGUAAUGUGAGUCCAAUCAGUGAUUGACUUGAACUAAUACGGUCCAAGAAGCGGCUGAACCGCAUUGAUACUGGAUCAGACUCAACAGAAUCGCACUGAUACGGGUGAAAAAAUGCGGUUGACCCGCAUUGAUACGGGAUCAAACUCGACUGAAUUGCACUAAUACGGGCGGCAAAUGCGGUUUAUCCGAAUUGAUACGGAUCUGAAUCCCAGUAAUACGGGCCAACAUGCGCUUGACCCGCAGAGAUUCUAGAUCGAUCCCAAUCGACGCGCAAUCUUUUUAAUGUUGGAAGAAGUGUACUAAUAUCACCGUCAAUAAACAUUUCCUGAAAGUGUUCUUUUUCACAACGAACGCUAUACGUCAAAAUUUACUUCCUAUUAAGCUGUAAAGUAUUUUUGAUUAAUUGCACUCUGUAAAUGUGAUAUUUUUAUACAAAGGAAUAAACUGGCGGUUAUAUAUUGGCCAUUGACAAA
rnacentral:lncRNA from 1 species